AUGAACAUUGCUCUCCUGACCCGAUGGCUAUGGCGUAUUGCCAACGGGGAGGGCGGCCUCUGGCUUACCAUCAUUCAGAAUAAGUACCUCCGAGGACAACCUCUUGCUUUCUGCCAGCGCUCUGGGGGAUCCCAAUUCUGGCAGGCUGUGAUUCAGCUCCUCCCCGUGCUCCGGAUUGGCACUUCCAUCUCGGUGGGUUCCGGGUCCUCGACCCUGUUUUGGUUCGACCGCUGGCUUGGGGAUUCCCCUCUGGCCGCCCGCUUCCCGGGCUUAUUUGCCAUUGCGGCAGACCCACGAAUUUCCGUCGAAACGGCCCUUAUUGACCUAGGGCGCCUUGCCUUUCGGCGCUCCUUUGGCCCCCAGGAGGUUGACGCGUGGGACGCCCUUCUACAGGACAUCGCUCUCUUGCCAAUGCAUGUAGAGGGCGCCACCGACUCCAUGGCGUGGCGUCUGGAGCCCUCGGGAAGCUUCUCCACGAAGUCUUUGUAUGCUGCCAUCGCCCCUUCGCUGGCCCCUGAGCCCUUUAGCCUGAUCUGGGACAUUCGUCUCCCCCUCAAGAUCCGGAUAUUCCUCUGGCAGUGGAUCCGGGGACGUCUCCCCUCUGGGGUGGAAGUCCGCAAGCGCAAUGGCCCUGGGGACGAGAUGUGUCCCCUGUGCGCCACGGUGGAGGAUUCGAACCACAUUUUCUUCAACUGCUCCACUGCCCAAUUCCUGUGGUCGUGCUUCCGUGAAACGGUCGGCGGACAGUGGUGCAAUUCCAACUUCCCUGACCUACUCGCGGAGAUCCAUGCCUCCUCCCCGCGUUACCGCCAUAUUAGAUGGCUGUGCAUUGGGAUCCUUGCAUGGACGCUUUGGAAUAUUCGCAACAAGCUCGUUAUUCAGAAAGUGCCUCUGCGACGUGCGACUGACGCGAUCUUCAAAAUGUGUGGCUAUUUGCAGCUUUGGCGGCCGCUUAGCCGCCCCCCGGACCGGAGCGUCAUCGACACCCUCCUCACCGACCUUCGAUCGAUGGCCUUCCGCAUGGCGCCCCCGCUUCCGCCACCGCCGCCGGAACCUGAUUAG
rnacentral:rRNA from 1 species